GAUGAACGCUGGCGGCGUGCCUAAUACAUGCAAGUCGAGCGAACGGACGAGAAGCUUGCUUCUCUGAUGUUAGCGGCGGACGGGUGAGUAACACGUGGAUAACCUACCUAUAAGACUGGGAUAACUUCGGGAAACCGUAGCUAAUACCGGAUAAUAUUUUGAACCGCAUGGUUCAAAAGUGAAAGACGGUCUUGCUGUCACUUAUAGAUGGAUCCGCGCUGCAUUAGCUAGUUGGUAAGGUAACGGCUUACCAAGGCAACGAUGCAUAGCCGACCUGAGAGGGUGAUCGGCCACACUGGAACUGAGACACGGUCCAGACUCCUACGGGAGGCAGCAGUAGGGAAUCUUCCACAAUGGGCGAAAGCCUGACGGAGCAACGCCGCGUGAGUGAUGAAGGUCUUCGGAUCGUAAAACUCUGUUAUUAGGGAAGAACAUAUGUGUAAGUAACUGUGCACCUCUUGACGGUACCUAAUCAGAAAGCCACGGCUAACUACGUG
rnacentral:rRNA from 1 species